AAGUCGUAACAAGGUUUCCGUAGGUGAACCUGCGGAAGGAUCAUUCAUAAUCAAGUGUUUUUAUGGCACUUUCAAAAAUCCAUAUCCACCUUGUGUGCAAUGUCAUCUCUCUGGGGGCUGCCGGCUGUCAAAAGCCGUGUGGUCACCUUUGGGAUUUAUAUCUACUCAGAACUUUAGUGAUUUUGUCUGAAACAUAUUAUGAAUACUUAAUUCAAAAUACAACUUUCAACAACGGAUCUCUUGGCUCUC
rnacentral:misc_RNA from 2 species